GGAUGGGUAUGCCUAGCGGCGAGGGCAGGGGUCUGUAAAACCCUGACAUAAGAGACAACGUAGGUUCGAGUCCUACCCCAUCCA
rnacentral:tRNA from 1 species